rnacentral:rRNA from 1 species
AUGGAUCUCAUGAGCUGGAACUGCCGGGGAGGGGGGAAUUCCCGGACAGUUCGUGAGCUAGCGACGCUAGUGCAGUCGCAUUCCCCCAGGAUGGUGUUUCUGUGCGAGACAAGACAAAAAGAAGAUAAAAUGAGAAGAUUGAGAGGCCGGCUAGUCCUCAAAGGAUUUACUAGUGUGGAUAGCAACGGCCUGAGCGGGGGCCUUGCCCUUUUU